AGCUGUCACUAAUGUGAAGGAAGUGGUGGGAGGACAAGUCACUGUGUGCUGCUCAUUCACAUUGGCAGGGAACAACAUCAAACACUUUUGCAAGGGGACAUGUUCUGGUAAAGAUAUUCUGGUUCAAACUAAUGGGAGCAAGAAUGUAACUCAAGGUAGAUACAGUAUAGAAGACAACAGAGAUGGAGCCUUCUAUGUGACCAUCAAGAACCUGAUGAAGUCAGACUCUGGGACCUACUGGUGUGGAGUGGAGAGAUUUAUAAAGGACACAUACCAAGAGGUGCAUCUCACAGUUACAGAUGCUCCUCCUACUCCUACACCGUCACCUGUCACCUCCAGACCCCAUGUCUCCACAAUCCUCCCAAACCUCUCUGCAGCAUCCCCAAACAUCUCCACAAUCCUCCCUAACCUCUCUGCAGCAUCCCCAAACACCUCCACAAUCCUCCCUAACCUCUCUACAACGUUUCUGACAUCUGGAGAUAUCAGUGGUCACUUUUCAUCAGGAACAGGUGUCCUGGUGUAUAUGGGGUCAGGUCUGGGGACGGUGGUGUGUGUGUUGGUCCUCAUUCUCAUCA